CGAGCGAGAAGCCCGCAAGGGUGAGUAAAGCGGCGCACGGGUGAGUAACACGUGGGUAAUCUUCCUUGGAGCCCGGAGUAACUCCCCGAAAGGGGUGCUAAUGCCGGAUGAGACCACGGGAUCUCCGGAUCCUGAGGGAAAAGGCGGCCUCUGUACACAAGCUGUCACUCCAAGAUGAGCCCGCGGCCCAUCAGCUAGUUGGCGGGGUAAUGGCCCACCAAGGCAUCGACGGGUAGCUGGUCUGAGAGGACGAUCAGCCACACUGGAACUGAGACACGGUCCAGACUCCUACGGGAGGCAGCAGUGGGGAAUUUUGCGCAAUGGGCGAAAGCCUGACGCAGCAACGCCGCGUGUGUGAUGAAGGUCUUCGGAUCGUAAAGCACUGUCGGGAGGGACGAAUAAGGCGGCGGCUAAUAUCCGCAGCCGAUGACGGUACCUCCAAAGGAAGCACCGGCUAACUCUGUGCCAGCAGCCGCGGUAAUACAGAGGGUGCAAGCGUUGUUCGGAAUUAUUGGGCGUAAAGCGCGUGUAGGCGGCCUUGCAAGUUGGGUGUGAAAGCCCUCGGCUUAACCGGGGAAGUGCGCCCAAAACUACAGGGCUUGAGUACCGGAGAGGGUGGCGGAAUUCCCGGUGUAGAGGUGAAAUUCGUAGAUAUCGGGAGGAACACCAGUGGCGAAGGCGGCCACCUGGACGGAUACUGACGCUGAGACGCGAAAGCGUGGGUAGCAAACAGGAUUAGAUACCCUGGUAG
rnacentral:rRNA from 1 species